AUACGUAGUGAGCGAGCGUUGUCCGGAUUUACUGGGUGUAAAGGGUGCGUAGGCGGCUCUGCAAGUCAGGUGUGAAAACCAUCGGCUUAACUGAUGGACUGCAUUUGAAACUGUGGAGCUUGAGUGGAGUAGAGGCAGACGGAAUUCCCGGUGUAGCGGUGAAAUGCGUAGAGAUCGGGAGGAACACCAGUGGCGAAGGCGGUCUGCUGGGCUUUAACUGACGCUGAGGCACGAAAGCAUGGGUUGCGAACAGGAUUAGAUACCCUGGUAGUCCAUGCCGUAAACGAUGAUUACUAGGUGUGGGGGGUCUGACCCCCUCCGUGCCGGAGUUAACACAAUAAGUAAUCCACCUGGGAAGUACGACCGCAAGGUUGAA
rnacentral:rRNA from 1 species